rnacentral:sRNA from 1 species
GUAUAGCUUUUGAAAGCGGUUUAAUAAUACUGAAAAGGGAGUUGAAUUAUCAAUGGGUACAAUCGUAUGUCAGGACUGUCAGGGAAUUAUUGAUCAUUUUGAAGAUGAAAAGGUAUCAACUCUUUACGGUAAAUGUACUUCUUGUAAUGACGAAGAACUAGAAUAGAUGUAAAUAGAAAAGCCUGCCACUCUAUAGUAGAAGAGUGACAGGCUUUUUU